rnacentral:rRNA from 1 species
AACGAACGCUGGUGGUAUGCUUAACACAUGCAAGUCGAACGGGUUUAUAGGGGCAACUCUAUAAAUCAGUGGCAAACGGGUGAGUAAUACAUAGGAAUCUACCUAGCAGUAAGGAAUAACAUCGGGAAACCAAUGCUAAUGCCAUAUAUUACCGAUUUAUCGGGAAAGAUUUAUCGCUGUUAGAUGAGCCUUUGUCGGAU